rnacentral:misc_RNA from 1 species
GAUGAAGAACGUAGCGAAAUGCGAUAAGUAAUGUGAAUUGCAGAAUUCAGUGAAUCAUCGAAUCUUUGAACGCACAUUGCGCCCGCCAGUAUUCUGGCGGGCAUGCCUGUUCGAGCGUCAUUUCAACCAUCAAGCCCUGCUUGCGUUGGGGUCCUGCGGUUGCCCGCAGGCCCUGAAAACCAGUGGCGGGCUCGCUAGUCACACCGAGCGCAGUAAUACAUCUCGCUUUGGGCGUGCGGCGGGUUCUUGCCGUUAAACACCCCCUUUUUACCAAGGUUGACCUCGGAUCAGGUAGGAAUACCCGCUGAACUUAAGCAUAUCAAUAAGCGGAGGA